CUUGCUAUUUUCUAUUAUUAAGGACAUUUUGGUCAUUUUCCCUUUUGUUUAAAAAAAAUAAUUAAUUAAAUUGAAUGAGGAUAAGAGAAGCAACGUGGCCUUCUCUAUUUCUCAUUUCCUUCUUUCUUCUUUGUUUUCAUUCCUUCUUCUUCAUUUGGCCGAACACCCUUCUUUGAAAAAUAAAUUUGUCGACAAGCUUUUUCGGCAAAUCAACGCUCCUACACUCUUCCUCUCAUUCUCUUGAGCUUGAAGGUGAAGCGUUGGCUCGAGGCAAAGAUCGAGUAGAGGAUUAGCGUUUGGGGAAGUGGUAUCAUCAAAGUUUAGGUGGUUUUCAUGGCCAACAUGUUGAGGUGGCGUGGAAAACCGACAGACGUAUUGGUCCUGUUCAGAUGGGAGUGUAGAGCCCUAUUAGAUGUUCAUCGGGAAGCCGGGGUUACCACACGGUGGACCAAUGGGUCAACGUUAAGGAUAUGAGUUCCUUGAUGGCUCUGAACUUAGCUGCAGCACGAUGAAAGUUUAGAGAGGUUUCUAGACCAUGUUGCGUUCCUUUUGUAGUGUUAUAUUCAAUUUGUGGUUUUGAUGGUGAGUAUCUAUUUUAUGGAUUUUGAGACUCAUAUUAU